rnacentral:ncRNA from 1 species
AAUAAUAAAAGCGCCAGAACUUAGUAAAUAAAUUAAAACAUUUACUAAGUUGACGAGGUUGGGGAAUAUCGAGAUUUUCGGCGGAUGCCCCACAGUACUUGUAUGCUACUGUUAAAAAUUGGCAAAACUAGAAAGUGAUUUCUAGAACAAAUUCAAUUGGGU